rnacentral:rRNA from 1 species
AUCUUCCGCAAUGGACGAAAGUCUGACGGAGCAACGCCGCGUGAGUGAUGAAGGCUUUNGGGUAGNANAACUAUGUUGUCAGGAANCAACAUCCGGGAUAACCUCCCGGUCUGACGGUACCUGAUCCGAAAUCCCCGGCUAACUACCUUCCAGCUGCCGCGGUAAUACGUAGGGGGCAAGCGUUGUCCGGAAUUAUUGGGCGUAACGCGCGCGCAGGCGGUUUCUUAAGUCUGGUGUGAAAGCCCGCAGCUCAACUGCGGAGGGCCACUGGAAACUGGGAAGCUUGAGUGUAGGAGAGGAGAGCGGAAUUCCACGUGUAGCGGUGAAAUGCGUAGAUAUGUGGAGGAACACCCGUGGCGAAAGCGGCUCUCUGGCCUAUAACUGACGCUGAGGCGCGAAAGCGUGGGGAGCGAACAGG